GACAGAGGUGCCAAGCGUUAGGCGGAAUCACUGGGCUUAAAGCGUGUGUAGGCGGACUUGUAAGUAUCUUGUGAAAUCCCACGGCUCACCCGUGGAACUGCUGGAUAUACUGCGAGUCUUGAGCCACUUAGGGGCUGUCGGAACAGGCGGUGGGGCGGUGAAAUGCGUAGAUAUCGCCUGGAACGCCAAAGGUGAAAACAGACAGCUGGGAGUGUGCUGACGCUGAGACACGAAAGCCAGGGGAGCGAACGGG
rnacentral:rRNA from 1 species